rnacentral:rRNA from 1 species
GACGAACGCUGGCGGCGUGCCUAAUACAUGCAAGUCGAACGCAGUGGGGACGGGUGAGUAACACGUGGGUAACCUCCCCUCAGAGGGGAUAACCCUUGGAAACAGGUGCUAAACCGAUACUGAUGGAUGGACCCGGGGUGCAUUAGCUAGUUGGUGAGGUAACGGCUCACCAAGGCAACGAUGCAUAGCCGAGCUGAGAGGGUGAUCGGCAACACUGGGACUGAGAAACGGCCCAGACUCCUACGGGAGGCAGCAGUGGGGAAUCUUGGGCAAUGGACGAAAGUCUGACCGAGCAAGGCCGCGUGAGUGAAGAAGGUUUUCGGAUCGUAAAACUCUGUUGGUAGGGAAGCGGUAUCUGACGAGAAAGCAACGGCUAACUACGUGCCAGCAGCCGCGGUAAUAC